rnacentral:tRNA from 1 species
CGCUGUAAAGCUAGUAAGCAUUAACCUUUUAAGUUAAAGACCGGGAAUAUUAAUCCCUACAGCGA